CUACGGGCGGCUGCAGUGGGGAAUAUUGCACAAUGGGCGCAAGCCUGAUGCAGCCAUGCCGCGUGUAUGAAGAAGGCCUUCGGGUUGUAAAGUACUUUCAGCGGGGAGGAUGGGAGUAAAGUUAAUACCUUUGCUCAUUGACGUUACCCGCAGAAGAAGCACCGGCUAACUCCGUGCCAGCAGCCGCGGGUAAUACGGAGGGUGCAAGCGUUAAUCGGAAUUACUGGGCGUAAAGCGCACGCAGGCGGUUUGUUAAGUCAGAUGUGAAAUCCCCGGGCUCAACCUGGGAACUGCAUCUGAUACUGGCAAGCUUGAGUCUCGUAGAGGGGGGUAGAAUUCCAGGUGUAGCGGUGAAAUGCGUAGAGAUCUGGAGGAAUACCGGUGGCGAAGGCGGCCCCCUGGACGAAGACUGACGCUCAGGUGCGAAAGCGUGGGGAGCAAACAGGAUUAGAUACCCUCGUAGUC
rnacentral:rRNA from 1 species